AUUGAACGCUGGCGGCAGGCUUAACACAUGCAAGUCGAGCGGAGAUGAGGUGCUUGCACCUUAUCUUAGCGGCGGACGGGUGAGUAAUGCUUAGGAAUCUGCCUAUUAGUGGGGGACAACAUUCCGAACGGAAUGCUAAUACCGCAUACGUCCUACGGGAGAAAGCAGGGGAUCUUCGGACCUUGCGCUAAUAGAUGAGCCUAAGUCGGAUUAGCUGGUUGGUGGGGUAAAGGCCUACCAAGGAGACGAUCUGUAGCGGGUCUGAGAGGAUGAUCCGCCACACUGGGACUGAGACACGGCCCAGACUCCUACGGGAGGCAGCAGUGGGGAAUAUUGGACAAUGGGGGGAACCCUGAUCCAGCCAUGCCGCGUGUGUGAAGAAGGCCUUAUGGUUGUAAAGCACUUUAAGCGAGGAGGAGGCUACUGAGACUAAUACUCUUGGAUAGUGGACGUUACUCGCAGAAUAAGCACCGGCUAACUCUGUGCCAGCAGCCGCCGUAA
rnacentral:rRNA from 1 species